rnacentral:rRNA from 1 species
UACGUAGGGUGCAAGCGUUGUCCGGAAUUAUUGGGCGUAAAGAGCUUGUAGGCGGUUUGUCGCGUCUGCUGUGAAAUUUCGGGGCUCAACCCCGAACUUGCAGUGGGUACGGGCAGACUAGAGUGUGGUAGGGGAGACUGGAAUUCCUGGUGUAGCGGUGAAAUGCGCAGAUAUCGGGAGGAACACCGGUGGCGAAGGCGGUUCUCUGGGACGUAACUGACGCUGAGACGCGAAAGCGUGGGGAGCAAACAGG